ACUAAAAGCAAAAUUAUUUUGGAAUAAUUCAGAAACUCUUUGAACUUCCUGCAGUCCUUGUAGGAUAUUAGGCAGUGGAAACUGGGUAGUAGCUGUAUAACAGCAGCACGAUAUGUUUUAUCAUUAUUACAUUCUCCUUACUGUUCUGGAUAAAGUUCUACAGUCUGUGGAUCACUAUAUGAUCAUACUUUGUAUGAGCAUCAACCAGAUGCAACCAUGUCUUAUUCUAAUACUUACACAGCUUGAGGACAAGUAACUGAAAAAAGCAAUAAGAAGGUAUAAUUUCGAGCUGAUUAUUCAGAUUGCCCACUAAAGAAAAUCCAUUUUAUUCUAAACUCAAGGUUUGGACUAAAGGAUACAGGACUGAAGCUCAAACUACGAAAUGUUGAUGCAAGAAUGUGCAGAAUGGUUCCCUGUGCACAGCACAGCUGAUCCCUGGAAGGCUGGAGCUGAACCGGCUUGGAGCACACCAGGAUGGGGUGAUGCAAUGAAGUGAGCACUGCCUCCUGUCCUCAGCAGGACAAUUUGCCUUGCUCCUCUAGGGAAGAGAAAGCUUGCAGGGGAGUGUCUGCAGGUUUUCUGCUUCUAACACUUCUCUCACCUGGAAGUGGUAAGCAGCACAAAGCACUUAGUAAAAGGGUGGCUGUUUUGUGUGUAUUUCUCCCACUUAUACUUUCAGGGCACCUGAGUAUUUGCUAUGCUUAAAUUUAUUUAUUUAUUUUUAAAUGUAUCUUUGUGAAGUCUAUUAUUUAUUUACUGAACAGAAACAUUUAGCAGCGGGCAAAAACAGCAACAGACUUCAAGUAACCUGCUCACCAGUAAGGCAAGAUUCACAAUCUGUUCCUAGCAACCCGCAGUUAUGGUAAGUAUUGCAUUACAGCCCUGUAUGACAGCUGUGUAUAACUGGCAGUGUCUGCUGCAGGCACCAUUGGCAGCAUGGAAUGAGUCAGAGGAGCACACCGUAUACCCUGCAAACCCUUGUGCAAAAAUUCCAGCAUUACAUCUUCCUCUCCUGAGAAGAGAGAGUUUACUGGCUGAAGCUGUGCUGAAUUAUGGAAGAGAAAAUCAAGUGCUAUAAUUCUUUUGUAUUAGUGGCUACAAUGCCUUGUUCAAAGGAUGCUAGAGGAGGAAGUCUAAAGCAGAAAUCAUACUGAAAACGUGGGGAAAACCUGAUACUUCGUCUAGUAGGAUGUCCUGUGUUGUGACUAUGGAAGGCAAAAUCUUCCCCCUGUCUUGCAGUCCCUGUCUUCCCUGCUGCUACUGGAGCCACAGAGAAGGAAGGAAGAAAGGAAUAUAGUUUCACUGCCCCAGUGAAAAUGAGAGAGUUGGCAUUGCAUGAGUGCAUGAAAUAAUUUAACAGCAAACUCAGAUACAUGCCAGCUUCCCUGUGUAUGUAGCUCACCUGAAUUUAUUAUGAUUCGUUUUCUAGGAGUGGGUAAGGGAUAGAGAAUCAGUUGGCUCCAUUCUGGUCCUGACAGUGCCACUAGUUCACUGAGUGACCCUCAGAUUAUUACUUCAUCUCUCAGUGGCAGCAUCUUUCUUUUUUGACCAUGGUAAAUCUCCUCCCCACAGAGUCUCUUGCUUUGCAUAAGUCUUGGUAUAUAACGUCUAGAAGGAGAGUCAACCCUCAACAAGGGUAGAUAAUGGCAGGACAAGGGGAAAUGCUUUUGAGGGAGAGAAGAUUUAGGUUGAAUACUG